AGAGUUUGAUCAUGGCUCAGGACGAACGCUGGCGGCGUGCCUAAUACAUGCAAGUCGAGCGCGUGAAGCAUUUUGAUCUCCUUCGGGAGUGACGGAUGUGGAACGAGCGGCGGAUGGGUGAGUAACACGUGGGCAACCUGCCUGUAAGUUUGGGAUAACUCGCGGAAACGCGAGCUAAUACCAGGUGAAGCUUAUCAUCUCCUGAAGAUAAGCUAAAAGACGGCAUUGCUGUCACUUACAGAUGGGCCCGUGGCGCAUUAGCUAGUUGGUGAGAUAAGAGCUCACCAAAGCGACGAUGCGUAGCCGACCUGAGAGGGUGAUCGGCCACACUGGGACUGAGACACGGCCCAGACUCCUACGGGAGGCAGCAGUAGGGAAUAUUCCGCAAUGGACGCAAGUCUGACGGAGCAACGCCGCGUGAGUGAUGGAGGUCUUCGGAUCGUAAAGCUCUGUUGUUAGGGAAGAACACGUACCGUUUGAAUAAAUCGGUACCUUGACGGUACCUAACCAGAAAGCCCCGGCUAACUACGUGCCAGCAGCCGCGGUAAUACGUAGGGGGCAAGCGUUGUCCGGAAUUAUUGGGCGUAAAGCGCACGCAGGCGGUCCUUUAAGUCUGAUGUGAAAGCUCGCGGCUUAACCGCGAAAGGUCAUUGGAAACUGAGGGACUUGAGUACAGAAGAGGAGAGUGGAAUCCACGUGUACCGGUGAA
rnacentral:rRNA from 1 species